GCCCAUGGGGGCGGCGAUUUAGCAGGAAACUGCCACAGGACUUCCUCUCUUCAUAGAUGUUGAAAAGCAACAUCUUUGUUGAAAAGGGUUCGUCUGGGCCUGAGCUUCUGCCCUUCUGGUGAAGGUUCUUUGGCCUAAAAUAGAAAAGCAUUUCUGUAUCUGUUUCUUUAUCUUGACGUAUAAUUACCAUCACAGGUGGUCGCAUACGUUAAACUACUUUUCACUGUACUUUGAUUAGCGCCUCUGCACUGGAGUGGGGACGUUGCGGACUCAACCUGAAGCAGUGGGGCUUCUCGCACUCUGACAAGUGCAACUGUGGAGAGGUACAGACAAUGGCCCGCCUACUGACUUACGGCGGAGAGGCAUGCACUGUGGACGAUCUCUGCAGAGGCACGGAUGUGGCACCGGCUGUGGCAAAGCGAUGGCAGAACGUCGACUGACACACGAGCGAACGCCUUUAAAAAUACAGUGUGGAAAUAGGCGCUACGACCCACCAAGUCCGCUCUGACCAGCAA